AUUGAACGCUGGCGGCAGGCCUAACACAUGCAAGUCGAACGAGUGGCGGACGGGGGAGUAAUGUCUGGGAAACUGCCCGAUGGAGGGGGAUAAAUACUGGAAACGGUAGCCAAAACCGCAUACCAUGGGAUGUGCCCAGACGGGAUAAGCGAGUAGGUGGGGUAACGGCGCACCUAGGCGACGAACCCUAGCUGGUCUGAGCGGAUGACCAGCCACACGGGACCUGAGACACGGUCCAGACUCCUACGGGAGGCAGCAGUGGGGAAUAUUGCACAAUGGGCGCAAGCCUGAUGCAGCCAUGCCGCGUGUAUGAAAAAGGCCUUCGGGUUGUAAAGUACUUUCAGCGAGGAGGCGUUACUCGCAGAAGAAGCACCGGCUAACUCCGUGCCAGCCGCCGCGGUAAUAC
rnacentral:rRNA from 1 species